UAUGAAGUAUUACUUUUUGUUAUUUCACAUUGUCAUAACAUUCUAAUAAUCUCUACAAAGAAUAUUUGAAUUAAAGAAAAUCAUGAUGAAGAAAGGAAUCAUUCUCCUAGUGUUUGUCGCUAUGUUUACUCUCUUUAGCCAAUUCUAUGGAAGGAACAUUAACGAUCGUCCAGACUAUUGUACAAGGGGAGUGAUGUUGUCCGGACUAUGUGGUGAUGGGAGUGCAUGUGUUGAUGCAGUCAGAGAGAAAUAUGUAGAAGUGGAGAUUAGAAGUUGUUCUUGUCAUGAUUCUCCAAUUAAGCUUGGUUUUUGCACAUGUGAUAUUAUUUGCUAGUUAAAAGACUAAAAGAAUGUCUUUUUUUUAAUCUUAAUAGUUUUUUCUAAUA